UACAGAGGUCUCAAGCGUUGUUCGGAUUUAUUGGGCGUAAAGGGCGCGUAGGUGGCGCGAUAAGUCGGGUGUGAAAUCUCGGAGCUUAACUCCGAAAUUGCAUUCGAUACUGCCGUGCUUGAGGACUGGAGAGGAGACUGGAAUUCAUGGUGUAGCAGUGAAAUGCGUAGAGAUCAUGAGGAAGACCAGUGGCGAAGGCGGGUCUCUGGACAGUUCCUGACACUGAGGCACGAAGGCCAGGGGAGCAAACGGG
rnacentral:rRNA from 1 species